CAUGCAAGUCGAACGAAGCACUUUGGACAGAUUCUUCGGAUGAAGUUUUUAGUGACUGAGUGGCGGACGGGUGAGUAACGCGUGGGUAACCUGCCUCAUACAGGGGGAUAACAGUUAGAAAUGGCUGCUAAUACCGCAUAAGCGCACAGUACCGCAUGGUACGGUGUGAAAAACUCCGGUGGUAUGAGAUGGACCCGCGUUGGAUUAGCUAGUUGGCAGGGUAACGGCCUACCAAGGCGACGAUCCAUAGCCGGCCUGAGAGGGUGGACGGCCACAUUGGGACUGAGACACGGCCCAGACUCCUACGGGAGGCAGCAGUGGGGAAUAUUGCACAAUGGGGGAAACCCUGAUGCAGCGACGCCGCGUGAGCGAAGAAGUAUUUCGGUAUGUAAAGCUCUAUCAGCAGGGAAGAAAAUGACGGUACCUGACUAAGAAGCCCCGGCUAACUACGUGCCAGCAGCCGCGGUAAUACGUAGGGGGCAAGCGUUAUCCGGAUUUACUGGGUGUAAAGGGAGCGUAGACGGAAUGGCAAGUCUGAUGUGAAAGGCCGGGGCUCAACCCCGGGACUGCAUUG
rnacentral:rRNA from 1 species